rnacentral:rRNA from 1 species
CAGCAGCCGCGGUAAUACGGAGGGAGCUAGCGUUGUUCGGAAUUACUGGGCGUAAAGCGCGCGUAGGCGGUUACUCAAGUCAGAGGUGAAAGCCCGGGGCUCAACCCCGGAACUGCCUUUGAAACUAGGUGACUAGAAUCUUGGAGAGGUCAGUGGAAUUCCGAGUGUAGAGGUGAAAUUCGUAGAUAUUCGGAAGAACACCAGUGGCGAAGGCGACUGACUGGACAAGUAUUGACGCUGAGGCGCGAAAGCGUGGGGAGCAAACAGGAUUAGAUACCCCGGUAGUCCCUGUCUCUUAUAC